rnacentral:misc_RNA from 1 species
UAAUCCAAAAUGAUCAUUGGCUUAAAAACCCGAUGGUCUAACCUUCUUGUGAACUGUUUAAUGUUUUUUUGAUUGGGAGUUUAAUGAGAUGUCGGUUAAUUAUCGACAAAUCAACUCCCAAUUGAAUAUUUAUAUACAAACUAUUUUAUUUUUUUAAGUUGAUUAUUUUACAGGAAACUGUAUUAAUAUAAAUA